rnacentral:rRNA from 1 species
AGGCGGCAUGCUUUACAGCAUGCAUGUCGGACGGCAGCACAGAGAAGCUUGCUUCUNUGGGUGGCGAGUGGCGAACGGGUGAGUAAUAUAUCGGAACGUACCGAGUAAUGGGGGAUAACCAAUCGAAAGAUUGGCUAAUACCGCAUACGUCCUAAGGGAGAAAGCGGGGGAUCGCAAGACCUCGCGUUAUUCGAGCGGCCGAUAACUGAUUAGCUAGUUGGUGGGGUAAAGGCCUACCAAGGCGACGAUCAGUAGCGGGUCUGAGAGGACGAUCCGCCGCACUGGGACUGAGACACGGCCCAGACUCCUACGGGAGGCAGCAGUGGGGAAUUUUGGACAAUGGGGGCAACCCUGAUCCAGCCAUGCCGCGUGUAUGAAGAAGGCCUUCGGGUUGUAAAGUACUUUUGUUAGGGAAGAAAAGGGAAGUGCUAAUACCACUUUUUGCUGACGGUACCUAAAGAAUAAGCACCGGCUAACUACGUGCCAGCAGCCGCGGUAAUACGU